GGACCCGCACAAGCGGUGGAGCAUGUGGUUUAAUUCGAAGCAACGCGAAGAACCUUACCAGAUCUUGACAUCCCUCUGAAUACAGCGUAAUGGCUGUAGCCCUUCGGGGCAGAGGAGACAGGUGGUGCAUGGUUGUCGUCAGCUCGUGUCGUGAGAUGUUGGGUCAAGUCCCGCAACGAGCGCAACCCUUAUUUCCAGUAGCCAGCAGUAAGAUGGGCACUCUGGAGAGACUGCCGGGGAUAACCCGGAGGAAGGCGGGGAUGACGUCAAAUCAUCAUGCCCCUUAUGACCUGGGCCACACACGUGCUACAAUGGCGUAAACAAAGGGAAGCGAGAGGGUAACCUGGAGCAAAUCCCAAAAAUAACGUCCCAGUUCGGACUGUAGUCUGCAACCCGACUACACGAAGCUGGAAUCGCUAGUAAUCGCGGAUCAGAAUGCCGCGGUGAAUACGUUCCCGGGUCUU
rnacentral:rRNA from 1 species